CCGAUAACAAAACUAAAACCUGGAUUUGACCAUUGCCUGGCAGAGGGCCAAACUCACAGAACAUAAACUUAAAUCUGACCAUUUCCAAGCUUAGGGCCGAAACAAAAAGAAAAACUUGAGCUUUAGGUGUCAGGCGAACUGGGCUUUGGGUGCCAGACAAAACUGGGGUGCCAGGUGAAACUGGGCUUAUGGGCCAGUAUGGAAACUAGGCUUAUGGGCCAGGUGAAACUGGGUUAGGGGGUCAGGCGAGCUGGGCUUAUGUGCCAGGUGAAACUAAGCUUAGGGGCCAGUGUGGAAGUUGGGCUUAUGGGCCAGGUGAAACUAGGCUUAGGGGGCCAGUGUGGAAGCUGGGCUUAUGGGCCAGGUGAAACUAGGCUUAAGGGCCAGUGUGAAAACUGGGCUUAUGGGCCAGUGUGAAAACUGGGCUUGGGGGCCAAGCAAGUUGGGCUUAGGGGCUAGUGUAGAAACUGGG
rnacentral:lncRNA from 1 species